CGAGAACCAAGAUGCAUGUAGACCAAUCAAGAUGACGCAAAUUUGACCCAGCCAAACCCCAAAGUGAACCCUAGAAAUUAGCUUCAAAUCUCCUCAUUUUCUCUCCUACUCUUUCUUCUUUCUCUUCAGUUGGAACCAUUAUGUGUUAAAUGUGUCUUCAACAAAAGUCAGAAAUGACCAUUCAAGAAAGAGCUCUAAAAUUAUAUUCAACAUUAUGUGAAGUAGAAGGUUUAACUGAGGAUGAGCGCUAUCGCGCAUUGAGCAAAAUUCUAAAUCAUCCAACGCAAAUGCUCAUUUUCUUUAGUUUACCUUCUUUUGUGCGAUUGGAAUGGGUCAAAAGAUUUCUUGCUAACCAUUAAAAAUCAUGGUUGUGUUGAUGAUAUUUUGGUAACUUUUUGUGUUUGUAAUAUUUGUAUGGUAUAAUGACAUGAUAGAAUGUCAUUACAAUGUUGCAACUUUUUGAUGUUGUAAAAUUUUAUAACAUAUGGAUUAUGACAUAUAAACUAAUGAAAUCAUGGAACUUUUGUU